rnacentral:rRNA from 1 species
GACGAACGCUGGCGGCGUGCUUAACACAUGCAAGUCGAACGUGAAGCCACCUUCGGGUGGUGGAAAGUGGCAGACGGGUGAGUAACGCGUGGGAACGUGCCUUUCGGUUCGGGAUAACCCAGGGAAACUUGGGCUAAUACCGGAUACGCCCUCCGGGGGAAAGAUUCAUUGCCGAAAGAUCGGCCCGCGUCGGAUUAGCUAGUUGGUGGGGUAAAAGCCUACCAAGGCGACGAUCCGUAGCUGGUCUGAGAGGAUGACCAGCCACACUGGGACUGAGACAUGGCCCAGACUCCUACGGGAGGCAGCAGUGGGGAAUAUUGGACAAUGGGCGCAAGCCUGAUCCAGCCAUGCCGCGUGGGUGAAGAAGGCCCUAGGGUUGUAAACCCCUUUCAGCGGGGAAGAUAAUGACGGUACCCGCAGAAGAAGCCCCGGCUAACUCCGUGCCAGCCGCCGCCGUAA